GACGAACGUUGGCGGCGUGCUUAACACAUGCAAGUCGAACGGAAAGGCCCUGCUUUUGUGGGGUUCUCGAGUGGCGAACGGGUGAGUAACACGUGAGUAACCUGCCCUUGACUUUGGGAUAACUUCAGGAAACUGGGGCUAAUACCGUAUAGGAGCUCCUGCUGCAUGGUGGGGGUUGGAAAGUUUCGGCGGGUGGGGAUGGACUCGCGGCUUAUCAGCUUGUUGGUUGGGUAGUGGCUUACCAAGGCUUUGGAGGGUAGCCGGCAUGAGAGGGUGACCGGCGACAUUGGGACUGAGAUACGGCCCAGACUCCUACGGGAGGCAGCAGUGGCGAAUAUUGCACAAUGGGCGGAAGCCUGAUGAAGCAACGUCGCGUGCGGGAUGACGGUCUUCGGGUUGUAAACCGCUUUCGCCUGUGACGAAGCGUGAGUGACGGUAAUGGGUAAAGAAGCACCGGCUAACUACGUG
rnacentral:rRNA from 1 species